rnacentral:rRNA from 1 species
UACGUAGGGGGCAAGCGUUGUCCGGAUUUAUUGGGCGUAAAGAGCGCGCAGGCGGUCGUUCAAGUCGCGUGUGAAAGCCCCCGGCUCAACUGGGGAGGGUCACGCGAUACUGCUCGACUUGAAGGCAGGAGAGGGAAGUGGAAUUCCCGGUGUAGUGGUGAAAUGCGUAGAUAUCAGGAGGAACACCGAUGGCGAAGGCAGAUCUCUGGGCCGUUACUGACGCUGAGGAGCGAAAGCGUGGGGAGCGAACAGG